CUCUCCGUCCGAUGCGAUCCACCCGUGUCCUCCGCUCCUCCCCCGCCACCACUAGUUUCUUAUCCACUUCGCUAGCUCCCGAUCUCGUCGGCGUGCAACCUCUACUGCCAUGCCGCCUCUAUUCGCCGGCCCGUCGCCACACCGUCCGCGCCUCCUCACCGCCCGACGCCCUCUAGUGCCGCCCCCUCCACCAGAUACUCUCGCCGCCGCCUCCGCCAUUGGGGACCCGGACGUAGAUGCCCUCCGCCGCCUCUCCGACAACCUCGCCCGCAGCCUUCCGCUUGCCCGACAACUUCGCCUUCCUCGAAGAAUCCAGCGUCGUCGUCCAGGGUUCACCGGCCUGCACGCGCACAGCUUCAUGCUCCCCACCCAGAGUCCACCCGGAGUCCCUUCCUGCAUGCCGUAUACUCGCGCAGCGCUGCCACCGAUUCGCCCCGUCGCGGUGGGCGUCCGGCUGGAAGUUGAACGCUGGCUUGAAUGAGCGGGUCGAGAGGAGGCGCCCCCGUUCUGGCGAGGAUGCUGGUUCGCCCUUCCGUGGAGAUGCAAUGGAAACGGGCGAGGAGCCGAGAUGCAAUGGAGACGGGCGAGGAGCCGGGGACGGGGAGAAGCAGGUAGUCGGGGGUUCGCUGAUGCUGCUCCAGAUGCGUUUGACCUCUGGCUUCUGGUGGUUCAUCCGGUUGUGGACAAUCCACCAGAUAUGUGCCGCGUCCCUUUCGUGUUCCCUUCUCUCCCCCUCCCAUCUCUUGUUUUGCUCUGUUUUCCAUCCAAAAGUUAUAGUGCUUGAUGGUUGUUGCUACUUGCUAGGUAUUUGUCCAGUACUAUUUUUUGGUGUGAGUUAGUCAAUUAGUAAUUUUGGCUACUAUUUCCGGUUUUAGCACUGAUGCACAAUUGUUCAAAGAUGGCCAUUACAUCUAGAGUGAUGUGUGAUUCUCUUAUUUCUACAUUUAGAAUGAAGGAUAGAUCUAACACUCGCUAUUAUCCGCCAAUUCUCUGUAUCUAAUUGAUGUAAUUUCAAUUGUUUUUUUACAUCUAGACUUGUUAGAUUCUUUUAUCUGUACAUCUAGAAUGAUGAAAAUAUGUAACACUAGUAAUUAUUUCUCCACUUUAUAUGUAUUUUUCGGUAAUUUUUUUACAUCUAGACAGCUGUGAGAUUCUUUUAUUUGUACAUCUAGAAUGAUGAAAAUAUGUAACAAUAGUAAUUAUUUCUCCACUUUAUAUGUAAUUUCCAGUCAUUUUUUACAUCUAGACAGCUGUGAGAUUCUUGUAUUUGUACAUGUAGAAUGAUAAAAUAUGACUAGUAAUUAUUUCUCCACUUUAUAUGUAAUUUUCAGUCAUUUUUUACAUCUAGACUGAUGAAACGAUCAAACUGAAACGGUAGAAUGCUUGUUUGCUUUUCCAACUAGGAUGCUACUUCUGAAUUUAACUCAUGUUACUUUAUGUAAUUUUCUUUAUGUAGGUUGUAACUUUCUCAAAUUAUUACAUGCACACAAUCUAAUAUGCUAUUUUAUAUGUUGUACCCAACAUAUUAGCAUGGCAGCAUGUAUAUUCCAUUCUGUCACCCCUACUUUUAUGUAUGCUGUAACUAUCUCAAUUACCCGCAAGGUUUAUUACAUACAAGAAAUUUAUUGUGCUUUUUUAUAUGCAGCAGAUGGCAUAUUAACAUGUUGCUCACACGCCACCAUGGUAGCAUCACUCAUGUCACCUGCAAUUGGAGUGAGCAUAAACCUGAAGGAUGUUUUCUUCGUCUCAUACAUGUCAUUUGAGAGUGGAUCUCAAAAACUUCAUGAAAUACUAGAUGCUUGUGUGUUCAUUGUUUUCACAGCGAACCUUUUUCUACAUCCUAGAUCACUUUUGUCAUGCUGCAAAGCAUAUCAGUUCUUUCCUACCUUUUUGAGUGAUCUACCAUGACACCGGGCUUGCUUUGUUGACAUCCAUAGAUCUUUUGUUACAUCUAAACACUGUUUUUGUCCUUGGGAUGGGGGACAGGUGGGUGGGUGUAGGUGAUCCAGAUGAAUCAUCCACACAAAACCAUUUUA